rnacentral:lncRNA from 1 species
AUGAGACUCGGGCAGGGGCACACCUCGCACUUCCUUUCUCCUCUGUUUUACGUUUAUUUUUCCUCCCUAACGCAACCUAGCGCUGGAACCGAGAGGGGCCGACCGAUUGCGGUGACUGCGUUUCUCCCGUGUAGAUGCUACCGCAGUCGCCGACGUCCCUUUUCAAAGGAUGCAAGCUCCCCGCCGGGAGCCGGAGGUGUUCUGCGGCCGUUCUGCCAGAGGCGCGGGAGCCCAGGUUUGCAUUUAGAGCUCGACACACCCUCCUCCAGCCUAUCCACCCUUCAGCCACUCUCCACCUGUGAGCUGCAGCUUUCUCCACCAGGGAAGACCUGUUCCCCUCUCCAUCUUUGGGUGGAGGUUUUCCUGCAAAGCCUGGUUUAUUACCCGAGAUAGGAUUCAUCACUGUCUGCCUCAUGGUUAGAAUUCACCCCACUCUGUCUUUGUUUCCUCUACUCUCUUAUAAAAUUGUUCAGGACAAAGACUGUAUUUUGUUCAUAUUUAAAUCUUCCACAAUGUUGAACACAGUUCUGUACAUGGAGUAAAGUUUUCUAAAUCUUU